UGCCGGGUAUCGGUUAACAGAUGAUUGCCCAACCCCGUCAGGUCCGAGAGGAAGCAGCGGUAAGCAUGAUAUUUGUGUAACUGAUGUCCCGGUUUUU
rnacentral:SRP_RNA from 1 species